AAAAACUUWGGAUAUUAAAWCCAAGGGCCUUCAAAGCCCUAAAAAAGGGUGCAAUCCCC
rnacentral:tRNA from 1 species